UACGGGGGGAGCAAGCGUUGUUCGGAUUUACUGGGCGUAAAGGGCGCGUAGGCGGUCAGCACAAGUCAGUUGUGAAAUCUCCGGGCUUAACUCGGAAAGGUCAACUGAUACUGUGCGACUAGAGUGCAGAAGGGGCAACUGGAAUUCUCGGUGUAGCGGUGAAAUGCGUAGAUAUCGGGAGGAACACCAGUGGCGAAGGCGGCUUUCUGGCCUGUUCCUUGACGCUGAGGCGCGAAAGCUAAGGGGAGCGAACGGG
rnacentral:rRNA from 1 species